UUUAAUUUGAAAAUUUUUUUUUUUUGGAACUUGGUUUGCAUUGGUAGGGUCGGUUGAUUUUUUUCUUUUUAUAUGAGUUUGUUUAUUCUUAGAGAAAAAAAACAGACCUGAUUGGAUUUUUAGAUAAGAUAUUUAUAUAAGUCAUAUCAUAUUCGGAUUUGAGUAAUGUGGAUUAAUAUAUUCGGAUUCGGAUUUAUUUAUAAUUGGAUCGGAUGGAUUUGAUUCUAAUACAAUCUAUUGACAGACCUACUUCAAAAUAAGAGUAUGGUUAAUAUAUUAAAAUAUUUAUUAUUGACAAUUGAUUAAUGGUGUUUUCAAUUGUUUGUGAUUUUUCAUGCUAAACAAACAAUAAAAAUUGAUUUCUAAAAAAUGGAUCCAUAUCAAGAAGAACGCCGAAAAACAAAUUUAUGAUUAAUUAGCCUAAGUGAAAUUAAUUAUACUAAUUAGUGAGUAGUGAGUAGUGAGUAGUGAGGUGCUUGUGUGAAACAUGUGUGGGAGUGUGUGGAAGUGUGGGGUUAAAUUGAAAAAUUCAAGUUUUUUUUGGGAUAAAAUUAAAGAAGGUAUGGUAAUAAGUUAAGAGGAUAUAAUAGAAUUACUUAAAAGUUGAAGGGAAAAAAUUGUAAUUUGGAUACUUUUUGGCUGAGUAAGGCAACAACCGUCGCCUUCUCCGUUGCUUGGUGUGUGUGUGUGUGUGUGUGUGUAUAUAUAUAUAUAUAUCAUUCAUUUAAAAAAAGAAAAAAAGAAGAGAGAACCAAGAGAGAGAGAGAGAGAGAGAGAAAGGAGAAUCGAGAGAGGGAGACAUGUAAUUCAUACUCGUUUCUUUUAAUCCAUGGAUUUCUAUUGGUAGACCUUUAUUAUUACAUGUCUGUGUACAUCCACAUGAUUAGUAGGAAUUGGGGAAAGAAGAAAAACAAAAUUACAGAAAUAGAGAACUCAUUCGCAGCUUCUGUUUGUGUUAAUGGCUGCCCAGGUCUAAAAAUUAUUCAGUGUGGUCUAGUUUACGAAAUUUUCAUGUAACUUAUUUUAAAUUUGGUCAAUUGGAUGAGUUUUUAGUCAUGUAUGUUUUUCAGUGAUUUGUAUUCAAUUAUAGGGUCAGUUUGGACUAAUUAUAAAGUUUAAAUGACAUAGUGUUGAUCGAUAUGAUAAUAAGCGUUUUUGGGGUUGGGGCCCCCCCCCCCAAAAUUCAAUGGUGAAAAAUUGUCGAUUGUCUGAAAUUUUAAUAAAGGUGACUUACUAACAUCUUUUUUUUAAUGAGAAUUAAUUGGCUGAAUUAUACAUUUUUUUUUUUUUGUUUAUAGGAUUAAUUCUUAUUUAAAUUAUAUUUAUUAUGAUAAUAAUAUUUUUCUUUUAUUAGGUUCGGAAUGGAAUACAUUACUCUAUGUUAACGGUGAUCCUCGAAGUAAGGGAAAAAGCCUAUGAGACAACUUAAAGCGAAGUUAAUUGUGAUAACAAGCGAGAAUAAAAUAUAUGAUAAUCUUAUUCAUAGUCGAAUUGUGUGUCCGCUAUAUUAAUUGGUGAUGAUGAUUAAAUUAUAGAUAUUAUAUAUGAGGUGGAUUAUGAUGAUUCCAUAUGAGUUGACGUGGCAAAUGCAUUCCUUUAUCUGUGUGCGUGUAUGUAUUGGAGAAAAUUUAACAGGUGGGAUAACUAGGAAUGUGUCAGUAGGGGCUUCAUUCAUUGAUAACGAGACAUAACUCAUUGGACCUACGUUAUCUAAACUUGCGCUCACAUGUGGGGAUGUAUUAUUGCAUUCAUUCUUUUUUUUUUAAUUUUUGCGGUAUCUAUAAUGGAUGAUUAUUGUAUAUUUUUUAUGACUUUGAUUAUCUAUUGUGAGUAUGUUGAUCUUUAUGCUCAUGUUAAUCUCUAUUUCUGUAUCUAUUGUGGAUGUUUAUCUAUAUAAUUUUUUUAGAAGUUUUGAUUAUCUAUUAUUAUCACGUUGACUUUUAGCUCACACCCACACAAAUUGUUUUGUCAGGUAAGGAGAUAUGGAUAGCUGUCUAGUUAUAGUUCUAGACGUGGUGACUUUCCUGGUCGUGUUUGGAUGUUGUUGGCAGAACUUGAGACAGCUAUUGCUUUCAUAGAGUUUUGUCUAGUGUUGCGUCGGUUGUUUAAAUGUCUUAUGUGUUUAAAGAGAGUGUUUCUAUUUCAGUUAGGAUGCACAUAUAUGUUUCCCUUGUGGGUUGAAUUUUUAAAUUGCAGUGAAUGGGUAUCUAUGCAAUCUUUUAAUUUAUAUAAUGUGGUGGAUAUCAGGAGUCGUUCGCAGGUAUGGUAACCUGUGCGAUCACAUCCCGUCUAAUUAGUAUGAAUUAUGUCCAAUUGGGUUGCGGGUGUGACAAUAUUAUUUAUCUUAAGCUAAAUGAUAAAGUUUUUAAAAGUAAAUUAAAAUAUAUAUUUAUAUUAAGAUUAAUUAAAUAAUUAAAUAAAUAUUUUAAAGCAUUGUAAAUACUAAACCAUGCAAAGUAGAGUCAACGCUUCUUUAAAAAUACUAAAUUAUUAUUUAAAG
rnacentral:lncRNA from 1 species